rnacentral:rRNA from 1 species
GUCCAGACUUUGAUCCUGGCUCAGGAUGAACGCUAGCUACAGGCUUAACACAUGCAAGUCGAGGGGAAACGACAUCGAAAGCUUGCUUUUGAUGGGCGUCGACCGGCGCACGGGUGAGUAACGCGUAUCCAACCUGCCCAUCACUUGGGGAUAACCUUGCGAAAGUAAGACUAAUACCCAAUGAUAUCUCAAGAAGACAUCCGAAUGAGAUUAAAGACUUAUCGGUGAUGGAUGGGGAUGCGUCUGAUUAGCUUGUUGGCGGGGUAACGGCCCACCAAGGCGACGAUCAGUAGGGGUUCUGAGAGGAAGGUCCCCCACAUUGGAACUGAGACACGGUCCAAACUCCUACGGGAGGCAGCAGUGGGGAAUAUUGGUCAAUGGACGAGAGUCUGAACCAGCCAAGUAGCGUGCAGGAUGACGGCCCUAUGGGUUGUAAACUGCUUUUAUAAGGGAAUAAAGUGAGCCUCGUGAGGCUUUUUGCAUGUACCUUAUGAAUAAGGACCGGCUAAUUCCGUGCCAGCAGCCGCGGUAAUACGGAAGGUCCGGGCGUUAUCCGGAUUUAUUGGGUUUAAAGGGAGCGUAGGCCGGAGAUUAAGCGUGUUGUGAAAUGUAGAUGCUCAACAUCUGCACUGCAGCGCGAACUGGUUUCCUUGAGUACGCACAAAGUGGGCGGAAUUCGUGGUGUAGCGGUGAAAUGCUUAGAUAUCACGAAGAACUCCGAUUGCGAAGGCAGCUCACUGGAGCGCAACUGACGCUGAAGCUCGAAAGUGCGGGUAUCGAACAGGAUUAGAUACCCUGGUAGUCCGCACGGUAAACGAUGGAUGCCCGCUGUUGGUCUGAAUAGGUCAGCGGCCAAGCGAAAGCAUUAAGCAUCCCACCUGGGGAGUACGCCGGCAACGGUGC